UACGUAGGGCGCAAGCGUUGUCCGGAAUUAUUGGGCGUAAAGAGCUCGUAGGCGGUUUGUCGCGUCUGCUGUGAAAACUCGAGGCUCAACCUCGGGCUUGCAGUGGGUACGGGCAGACUAGAGUGCGGUAGGGGUGACUGGAAUUCCUGGUGUAGCGGUGGAAUGCGCAGAUAUCAGGAGGAACACCAAUUGCGAAGGCAGCUCGCUGGGCCGAUACUGACGCUGAGGAGCGAAAGCGUGGGGAGCGAACAGG
rnacentral:rRNA from 1 species